rnacentral:snRNA from 1 species
AUAUAUUUUAUAAAAAAAAAAUCUGUUCUUAUCAGUUUAAUAUCUGAUACGUCCCCAUCGACCCCAUGUCUCUGGAUUUUUCAGACAGGGAGUCAUGGACAUCCGUCCGGCUCCACGCAUCGACCCAGUAUUGCAGCCUCCGGGAGCGGUGCAACACUU